CCGUUGAGUUGACAUCACGCAGUUGUGUCAGCAAAGGGUUCCGGAAACGCGCCAUCAGGGGCCAUCUUUCAGGCUUCAUUCCGGGUCAGUCUGACCGUGCAGUGUUUAUAGAGCGUAUGCAGGAAACCACAUACCCACUGGGAACGACAUUUAGGCAUAAAGCACUUUGGCCAUGACCUUUGCCACUGGGAACCAGAUCCACGCAUCUGUAACAGCACUUUGCUCAUGACGUACAGUACUUUGUGAGCGAGCACCCAUUCACUUCAGCAUAAUUCUGCUGUAUAGUCUACAGUAGAUAUUCAGACAAGGGAAAUGGAGUUUGUGGAACUAUCUGCGCUGAGAACUGUCCGUUAUUCCUAUGCUGGGAGUGGCGAGACCCUGAAGCAACUACCUCUGCUCCUGUCACUCAUACGCAGCCACACCCGCCUGGAAGACAAGGACCUUUUUCUUUCCGUCGAGCGAGAUGGCAAAAUUACGUGCCAGCGCUCGUUUCUGGGAAAGUCAAUUGUACAGGAGUUUGAAAGCCGACGUAUGCUGAUUUUUCAGGAGAUCUCCAAUCUCGGAUUCGAAUUGAAAGCGGCUACCGUGAAUGAAUCGGGCACCGGUGUGAACCAACGAACAUGGCUGUUCGCUCGGAGGAUUUGACCUUGGCGAGGAACUCGAGAUUUCUUCAGGCUUGCCAGCUACAGCGCUUUGGAAAAAUUCUUGGUUUCACUAUCAGAAAUGAUUAUUAAUACAUGUAACAACACCCUUAGCAUUUCAAACUUUGAAGUUCGUCAGCAACUCGCCUGAAUUGGGGAUUUGGGUCAAAAAGUCACGCUGUUUAUGCCUUCCAUGAGUGCACAAGGGCUCCAAACGCGAGGUCACGGCGAGGCCAUCUGAAGCCUCCACUGCAGCUGUAAUAUCCACACAUUACGGUACGUGGUGUAAUGCAGCAGGUACGCCAUGUGGAAGAGCAUGAAAGCGGGCGAUACAAACACUCUGUGAGGUUACGGCCUUUGCCUAGGCCUGCAGGCAUUUGUUGGCGCAAUCAGGACAUAGUGGCUGACGUGACAAACCGUGGGUUUAAUUUUGCUUGACAAACUUCGCUCUCUGUAACUGCCAACAUAACAUGACCAAUUCCCCUAAUUUCAGGAAGUUCUGGGUUUUCAAAGUAGUAUAAUGGACUUCGCAAAACACAUCCAAUAAUAUUAUUCACAAAAGGAGACUUUACAAAAAUAAGGAAACAAAAAUGCAAGCUCAUUUUACAUCAGCUUACGGGCACGAAGGAGCCCAAAACUGUGGCCAGCUGGGGCCAAUUUCAUGGAACUGCUAAGUACAAAAUUUGCUUAAGCGUGGAAAGAACCUUGCUGAAGAAACAAAGGUUACCAGCUCAUUCUUCUAUCUGAUUGUCAUGCUAACCAAAAGACAGCUAAAUAUCAUUUCAAAAUAGUAUACAUCACAUGGAGUUUUGGCUGAUAACCUGAUUUAUCAAGCAAGGUUUUUUCGAGAUUAAGCAAAUUCUAUAUAUAUUUAUAAUCUGUAAAGGACAAAAGUUUCAAAGAUGAUUUACACACUGUAUAUAUAAACGAUAACAAAUUUCCUAAGUUUUAUAAUGCGCGUUCUGGAAGUUGGUUGUAAGAAUAUGUGAUGCUAAAAGGUUUAUUUUUAAGAACCUUAAUAUGUUUAUGAUAAGAAGUUGCAGAAGCUGAGAAAUUUCUAGAAGAGUUGGGGACUCUGUGAUACAGAGAAAGAGACGCACACAGCCAGAGAGAUUUUGGGGGACAAUUUGACUUUACGUGCAUGGGCCGUGUGAAAGGUCGUUGACUCUUUGACCUUUUGCGCCCGGUCUACCCCGGGGUGGCCGCGGCGAGUCGUCUGCGGAGUGACACUGCAAAGAGNCGCAUCCAGGCCAAGUGAACUGUGAGCCUGAAUUGCAUACCGGAAGAGACAGUUUGUGGACUGAAUCCAAUUCCAGUUUGUGGGAUCACGAAGUCCAGUAUUUGCAACGGUCAUCAUGCCCUCACCAUGUCGUCUCGAGCUUGGUCACUUCUAUUGGACGUGGUCGUCGCCCCUUUCUCAGCUCACGUUAGCACCGUCUAAGACUGAACUGUUUUUCGCCAUUGGAGUCAAACAUUCUUCGACGUAGUUCCUGCCAAGCUCUCGCCCGUACGAUUUGUUUGUUUAUAAAAGAUCUUUUUUUUGAUUCUCGACCUUAUCAUCAUAAACUAAUUCGUAUCAGCCCCUUUCUGUGUUAUCCUUAUUCUUGAUAAGCUAAAUGUUAGCAUUCUCAUUAAAUCUUAAUUGUUUAUUUGUGCUUUA